AUGGCGGCCGGGCUGGGGCCGGGGCUGCUGGCCUUGGCCUUGGCCUUGUGGCCGGCAGGGCUCUGGGCACAGCUGAGGCUGCAGAAGCGCUGAGAGCGCCCGAGGACUCCAUGAGCCUCUCCUGCCACUUGUCCAGCAGCGCCUUGGAGGGAUUCACAAUUCGGUGGUACCGUCAAGCACCCGGAGGCAGCCUGGAGUGUGUGUUUGUCUCAUCAGCUUCUCGGGCAACAUAAAUAAGUAUGGAACAGCAGUGGAAGGUCAAGCCACAGCCUCCCGGGACAGUUACCAGUCUCAGUCAUCUCUGGUUUUGUGGGCGCUGCACCCCACUGACUCUGCCCACUUCUGA